AAAAAACCACAUGGGAAAUUCCUGAACUAAGAAGAAAACGCCACACAUGCUAAAAGAAACACUACAAUUCUACAAUUACAGACUUAUCAUAAAUACUAUACAAUUCAUUAGUCACAGAGAACUCACAUUGAACCAAUACGAAAGAUAAAAAUAACACUCAUGAAGACUAAACCCUGCAAGCCAAAGAACUAUCGUAAAGUUACCACAUGGAAAGCACCAAUCUCCUUCUAGUGAUCUUACCAUCCUCAACAAAGAAGUCUUGCUAUGAGCCACCUAACAAACAUUGACAGAUGCCAACAAAUGUUGCUCUCGUCGUCUACAGAGGAAGAUAGCGAUCACUAUUCCACAUAGAAUCUCUUCGAGAGAGUGAAAGAACCACAACCAGUCGAUGAAGGAUUGUCGACGAUAAGGUAGGGGACAAUGGAUUUUUCUCUCUAGCAGCUAGGCAUUUAGAUGGCCUCCAGACAAACCAGUGAUUCUAUGUCCUCGUUCGUAAGACACUGUAAUGUGCAAAACCAAUCAACCAUUGAGAGUUGAUGAUGGAAUUAAGGUCUAACUAAUUGGUUGUUACCUUCUUUGUCUCAGCCAAUGCCUUGAAAUGUCGAAGCACCUCGCCAAAUUUGUUUUCUGCCAGAUCAUGACCAAGCU
rnacentral:lncRNA from 1 species